CCUACGGGUGGCAGCAGUGAGGAAUAUUGGUCAAUGGACGCAAGCCUGAACCAGCCAUGUAGCGUGAAGGAUGACUGCCCUACGGGUUGUAAACUUCUUUUAUACAGGAAUAAAGUGAGACACGUGUGCCUAUUUGUAUGUACUUUAUGAAUAAGGAUCGGCUAACUCCGUGCCAGCAGCCGCGGUAAUACGGAGGAUCCGAGCGUUAUCCGGAUUUAUUGGGUUUAAAGGGAGCGUAGAUGGGUUGGUAAGUCAGUUGUGAAAGUUUGCGGCUUAACCAGAAAAUUGCAAUUGAUACUGGCAGUCUUGAGUAUAGUUGAGGUAGGCGGAAUGCGUGGUGUAGCGGUGAAAUGCUUAGAUAUCACGAAGAACACCGAUUGCGAAGGCAGCUUACUAAACUGUCACUGACAUUGAGGCUCGAAAGUGUGGGUAUCAAACAGGAUUAGAUACCCGGGUAGUC
rnacentral:rRNA from 1 species